AAUACAUACACCCAGAGGCAUUAGUCUGGCUGCAGCGCGUAUAAGGGAAUAUCAAGUUAAUUAAUUUUAAUUUUACAGAUUGUUAAUAUCUGACAGGAGAGCACCAGUUAAGCCUAAAAACGCCCGUAAAUUACUAUUUUAAACAAAAACAAGUGGAUUAUUGCAGAAUAAGAUUUAAAAAUUAUUUCAUUGAAAUGAAGUGUACAAAGCCAAGGCAUGGUAUAUGGGAGUAGCAAAAGUGACCAUUCACAGUACUUUCGCCACCUCCGAGGCGUACGUUCACAAUAAAACCAACAUGGCCGCCUCUGGUGAGUUAAGGGGGCAUGCAAAAAACGCCGUAAUAAUUAUUUCUAAAUAUUUUAAAUUUUGGUUAUAGAAUGAUAUUUAUUGCUGUAAACAAAAUAUGAUAUUGUGCCAUGUUGAGAUAUAUAAAUAUGCGGCAUAUUUUUAAGCAUUUUAAUUAAACAACUCUUUACAUAAAGUUUUACCAUAUUAUUAUAUAGUUCUUAGUUUAGGUUUUAAAUAUAUAGGCUUCUAAAAUAAAUUAUUUGUUGAAGUUGCAAUAUCUUUAUAGUAUAAAAUACGGUAGGCACACCAGGUAGGCUCUGUAUUUCAGCAUGUAGCGAUGAAACUAUGUACAAUAUUAUAUUAUAACUCUUGACAUAAUUUAUUAAAAUAUUAUUAUAUAAUUCUAAGUUUAGUUUUCGAAUGAAUUGACAUCUUAAAUAAACUAUUUGUUGAUGUUCCAAUAUUUUUAAAGUAUAAAAUACGGAAGAUAUAUUAUUUUCCUAAAUAGUAGAUUAAAACUAGCUUACGCAAUACUGUUACGCAAUGCUCAAUACCAGUACUGGCAACAAAUUUUAGAAUUUUUGACAUGGACGGACUUAUUUUUACAAAGGUGAGUUGCUUUUGAGUAUUGAUUUUAAUAUAAUUAUUAUUUUUGUAUAAAUUUAUCAAACUUGUCUAAAGGAAAGAAUUUUUUGGUUCAGUCAGUUAAAAAUAGACAUAAAUAUAUAUCCUAAUUAUUUUGGAAUUUGCCAGUAAUAGUCGCUCUUUUAAGAAUAUAUGUAUAUUAUAAUAAAAAACUUUUAUUUUGAAAAAUACAAAAGUUUUACAUAUAAUCAAUAUUUUUGAACAACAUUUUCAUAAAUUUUAAGAAAAUAGCAAUAUGCAACCAUUUUCCGGUCAAAAGUCGGCCAUCGUGGCUGUCAAUAAAAACUCAACCCCUAGGCGGAUUUGACGUUUUCCCAUGGACACCUCCUUCACCUACAGCUUUGAUUACAUUGGCCAAGGUCUCUUAAUAUAGACUAGCGAAAAGUAAGUAAAUUUCAUAUUCGAUACUAUGGAUAGUAUUUUUUCAAACCAUCGAGUGAUCCGACUAUCGAUAGUUUUGCAGCUUUAUUAUGACCUAUCCCUGACUAUGCCAUAUAUAUGUAUACCAGUGAAAUUCGUUUUCCUUUUUCUCAAACCUGGACAUUACACCAGAGAUAAAGAGAUGCCCAACUCGUCUUUCACUGGAAAUGAGAGCGCAAUUGCUAAACGUCAAAAACUCAUGAGCUCAAGCAACUGUCAAAGUUCAGGAGGUAUGACGUUUAGCAAUUGGAAAAAGAGGGAUGGCCAGACUGAAAUCCUACAGAAAAAUAUGUCAACAGAGAGAUUUCUUGCCGCUGUUAAAGAUCACUAA